UGGGGAAUAUUGGACAAUGGGCGCAAGCCUGAUCCAGCCAUGCCGCGUGAGUGAUGAAGGCCCUAGGGUUGUAAAGCUCUUUCACCGGUGAAGAUAAUGACGGUAACCGGAGAAGAAGCCGCGGCUAACUUCGUGCCAGCAGCCGCGGUAAUACGAAGGGGGCUAGCGUUGUUCGGAUUUACUGGGCGUAAAGCGCACGUAGGCGGACUUUUAAGUCAGGGGUGAAAUCCCGGGGCUCAACCCCGGAACUGCCUUUGAUACUGGAAGUCUUGAGUAUGGUAGAGGUGAGUGGAAUUCCGAGUGUAGAGGUGAAAUUCGUAGAUAUUCGGAGGAACACCAGUGGCGAAGGCGGCUCACUGGACCAUUACUGACGCUGAGGUGCGAAAGCGUGGGGAGCAAACAGG
rnacentral:rRNA from 1 species